rnacentral:rRNA from 1 species
UACGUAGGGUCCGAGCGUUGUCCGGAAUUACUGGGCGUAAAGAGCCCGUAGGUGGUUUGUCGCGUUGUUCGUGAAAACUCACAGCUCAACUGUGGGCGUGCGGGCGAUACGGGCAGACUUGAGUACUGCAGGGGAGACUGGAAUUCCUGGUGUAGCGGUGGAAUGCGCAGAUAUCAGGAGGAACACCGGUGGCGAAGGCGGGUCUCUGGGCAGUAACUGACGCUGAGGAGCGAAAGCGUGGGGAGCGAACAGG